AUUGAACGCUGGCGGCAUGCUUUACACAUGCAAGUCGGACGGCAGCACAGAGAAGCUUGCUUCUUGGGUGGCGAGUGGCGAACGGGUGAGUAACAUAUCGGAACGUACCGAGCAGUGGGGGAUAACUAAUCGAAAGAUUAGCUAAUACCGCAUAUCUUCUGAGGAAGAAAGCAGGGGACCAUUUGGCCUUGCGCUGUUUGAGCGGCCGAUAUCUGAUUAGCUAGUUGGUGGGGUAAAGGCCUACCAAGGCGACGAUCAGUAGCGGGUCUGAGAGGAUGAUCCGCCACACUGGGACUGAGACACGGCCCAGACUCCUACGGGAGGCAGCAGUGGGGAAUUUUGGACAAUGGGCGCAAGCCUGAUCCAGCCAUGCCGCGUGUCUGAAGAAGGCCUUCGGGUUGUAAAGGACUUUUGUUAGGGAAGAAAAGGGCGGGGUUAAUACCCCUGUCUGAUGACGGUACCUGAAGAAUAAGCACCGGCUAACUACGUG
rnacentral:rRNA from 1 species